rnacentral:rRNA from 1 species
AUUGAACGCUGGCGGCAUGCUUUACACAUGCAAGUCGAACGGUAACAGGCCGCAAGGUGCUGACGAGUGGCGAACGGGUGAGUAAUGCAUCGGAACGUGCCCAGUCGUGGGGGAUAACUGCCCGAAAGAGCAGCUAAUACCGCAUACGAUCUAAGGAUGAAAGAGGGGGACCGUAAGGCAUCGCGGGCUUUGAGCGGGCGAUGUCAGAGUAGGUAGUUGGUGGGGUAAAGGCUCACCAAGCCAACGAUCUGUAGCUGGUCUGAGAGGACGACCAGCCACACUGGGACUGAGACACGGCCCAGACUCCUACGGGAGGCAGCAGUGGGGAAUUUUGGACAAUGGGGGCAACCCUGAUCCAGCAAUGCCGCGUGCAGGAAGAAGGCCUUCGGGUUGUAAACUGCUUUUGUACGGAACGAAACGGUCUGGGUUAAUACCCUGGGCUAAUGACGGUACCGUAAGAAUAAGCACCGGCUAACUACGUGCCAGCCGCCGCGGUAACAC